CAAAUACUCCCUCCGUCCGAAAAUACUUGUCGGAGGAAUGGAUGUAUCUAGAUGCAAUUUAGUUCUAGAUACACCCAUUUUCAUUUAUUUCUCCGACAAGUAUUUCCGGACGGAGGGAGUAUUAG
rfam:Triticum aestivum genome assembly, contig: Triticum_aestivum_CS42_TGACv1_scaffold_096288_2AL